GACGUAGGGCGCGAGCGUUGUCCGGAUUUAUUGGGCGUAAAGAGCUCGUAGGCGGCUUGUCGCGUCGUUCGUGAAAACCUGUGGCUCAACUACAGGCUUGCGGUCGAUACGGGCAGGCUGGAGUUCGGUAGGGGAGACUGGAAUUCCUGGUGUAGCGGUGAAAUGCGCAGAUAUCAGGAGGAACACCGGUGGCGAAGGCGGGUCUCUGGGCCGAUACUGACGCUGAGGAGCGAAAGCCAGGGGAGCAAACGGG
rnacentral:rRNA from 1 species